UACGUAGGGUCCGAGCGUUGUCCGGAAUUAUUGGGCGUAAAGAGCUCGUAGGCGGCCUGUUGCGUCGGUUGUGAAAACCUGGGGCUCAACUCCAGGCCUGCAAUCGAUACGGGCAGACUAGAGUUCGGUAGGGGAGACUGGAAUUCCUGGUGUAGCGGUGAAAUGCGCAGAUAUCAGGAGGAACACCGGUGGCGAAGGCGGGUCUCUGGGCCGAAACUGACGCUGAGGAGCGAAAGCGUGGGGAGCGAACAGG
rnacentral:rRNA from 1 species